CAGAGUUCAUGCCCUCACGGGUAGACCUCCCACCCUUGUGUAAAUAAUACUUUGUUGCUUUGGCGGGACGCACGCUUGUGCCCCGGGCCUUCGGGCCUGGGUGUGCCCGCCAGAGGACCCCUAAAAUCUGAAUGUUAGUGUCGUCUGAGUACUAUAUCAAUAGUUA
rnacentral:misc_RNA from 1 species